AUCUAACUGACAAGUCCCAAAUAGGACGAAAUGCGCGUCCUGGAU
rnacentral:hammerhead_ribozyme from 1 species